AAAUGGGUACGGCUAUGGGUGCAAAUCCAAGUGAAGAGCUACACUGACAGCCUAAAGAAGCACAUCGGAUGGAAAGAACAGUAGGGAAACGGGAAAACUGAGGGUUUGCUGGAAGUCCAAAAGCCUGUUAUUUCCACUGGGGAAACACAGGCAAGAUAAUAAGAGGUUUCACGACGUAGGCCUUCAAGGGCCAGGGGAGGCUGAUCCAAGUGCAGUCAAAACAAAGCCUCCUGGGCUACCUGAGCCGACCGGUCGAGAUACCCAAUCUCCCAGCCGUCAUCCUCGCUCUCACUACUCUCGCCUCCACCGGCCACAGCCAGACCGCGCACAGGGCCAGCCGCCAUGCCCGCCAGCCUCUCCGAACACGCACAGCUGUAUCCGCCCCCUCAGCGGGCGCCUGCGCACUGGGGAAACACGCAGGGUUGCGUGGGAAGGCGUGCGUGUGAGCUCACAGGCUUUGGGCCCUGAGGCGCAGAUGCGCGGGCAUGCGUAGCACCCCUCGCCUCCUCGGACCCGCCCACCAGCCCUGUGUUCACUGGGGGAAAACCCACUGCCCAACGUGGUAGAGUUGGAACUGGGUGCCUGAACCGGCUGGGUAUUUGGUCGAUGAAGUUUUGCCCUUAAAGGGAUGCCGUACUUUCGGUGGAGCAUAAUGGGAGCUAUAAAGCCAGGAAAGUAGAUCCAUCAAGGAAUAUGGCACAUUUGUGACACCCUUGAGAUGAUUUAAAAGGAAAAUAGCCAUAUACUGUUCUUUAAAAGUCUUUGUGAUAUAGUUUUUUCCGUAAAGAAUCUCCAGUGUACGAUUUUGAAAUUAUAUACUUCAGAGACUUUCAUAGGCUCCUGCAAUCCUUGUAUUUUGCACCCUGGACACCACACUUACUUCCCCUUCAUCCUUGCCCUGAUUGGACCAGAAAGGAGGCCUGAGGCUGGACCAUCAUGAAGGAAGGAGUGUAUAAUAAGAAGACCUUAUGGGACUUAAAAUUUUCAGCUUCCAGACUGUUGAGAUCUUUAUGGAUUGGAAUUCACUGAGCUUCAUUCUCAGCAUUGAUGAGGGCAGGUGAGAAAGAAGAAAAAAGCAUCUCUGUCUUGAUUCAAACUAAACACUUCUCUGAAAUAUUUACAAAGCAGUGUGCGUCACGUGAGGCCUGGGCCAAAGGACCCUCUGACUUUCUGUGUAAGAGGCCCCUUACACAUGGUGGACACCUGAUAAAUAUUCACUGAAGCCUUGGAACAUUGGUUUGAGCACUGGCCUCAAUUUUUGGAUGAGAGUUGCCCCCAUCAACUGGGAAGGGUAAGAAGAAGGUUUUGGCAAUUGUGAAUAAAACUACUAUAAACAUUUGCAUGGAUAUUUUUGUGUGGACUGAAGUUUUCCAGUCAGUUGGGUAAAUACCUUGAAGUGUGAUUGCUAGAUUAUAUAGUAAGACUAUGUUUAGCUUUGUAAGACAAUGCCAAAUAUUUCAGUGUGGCCGUACCACUUUGCAUUCCCACCAGCAAUCGUCACCAGUGAUUGGUGUUGUCAGUUUUUUUGGAUUUUAGCCAUUCUAAAGGGUGAGAAGUGGUAUAUCAUGGUUGUUUUCAUUUGCAAUUCCCUAAUGACAAAUGAUGAUGAGCAUCUUUUCAUAUGCUUAUUGGCCAUCUGUAUAUCUUCUUUAGUGUAGUAUUGCUCAGAUGUUUGGCUUAGUUUUUAAAAGGGUUGUUGUUUUCUUAUUGUUGAGCUUUAUUUUCUCUUUCUUUUGAAGGAAGUAAAUAAAUAAAAACUAAAUAUGGUUGAGGAGAUGUGCAUUUAAAAAGCCAUAAAGAAUUAUCCCAUACACACUUCAUGUUUUCUUGUAAAAAAAAAAAAAAUCAUGGAAGGACCAGUUCAGUCUUCAGGAAAUCACUAAUGUGAGGAUGUGAAAUUUGAAAUGUGUGUGCGCGCACGCACACACACACACAUACACACCAUCACUUAUUGAGCUCUUACUCUAUGUCUUAUUCUAUGUCAGGCAUGCAUUUUUUCCUUACAUGAACUCAUUUAAUUCUCACAACAAUCCUAUGUAAUGGAAACUCUUGUUUCCCCCAUUUUACAAAUGAGCUCCGCUCCCAGCAGAGGAGCUCUAACCCUGUGCCAUGCUGUCUGAUAGACAAUAAAUUUUAAAAUGAGACAGUCUAAGGUUUGUUUUCUUACAUAGCCAAGCGAAAGUAUAUUUUAAAAUUAAGUAUGAAUGAAAAAAAGAAAAAAUAAAUUAAGUAUGCAUGAACAUAGAAACAGAUUGCAGAAAUAGUCCAUUUUUCUUGAAUUAUUCAGAUUGUUACAAGCCUCAAAUUUGUUUGGGUUUGUGUGUGAAUACAUUCAGAUGAUUGAAUAGAGGUCUACACUUUUUCUCCGAUCCUUAAAUCUAAAUUUAUUUUGCAUAAUUUUUUUUAAUCUUCGCUUUCUCAAAAGCAAGGAAGAUACGACAUGAAUAAUCUGAUGGGCUCUUUUUCCCUACUCUGUUUUGGACCAGAAAAAUAAUUUCCAAGAGUCAUUUGCCUUAUUAUUUAAUAGGUGUUAACAAAAAGAAUUCCUAAGAACAAGUAGAAUCACGAGCAAAGCGGGUCUUGAAAAAUAUAGCAGUGUAGUUACAGCUGGUGGCUGGCUCUGAGCCUGGCCAUGAGCCUGCAGCGUGGGACUGGGUGUUCCACUGCCUGGCUGUGCUCCAAGGAGCUGUCAGUUGCCGGGUUCCCACAGUGCCAAGCACUAGCAGGUGCAGAAAGGUUCAAGGUUUCUAUUCCCCCGUAGUGUUGAGGGCAUGCAGGUCAUCUGACAGUAACAAGAUGAAGCACCCCUGUGGGCCCUGAGGGGCAUGAGGAGUGGAGCUCCUGCUCAGCCUUGGGGAUUUGACAUUUGUCAAAUUGUGCGAGAACCUGCUGGGCUCCUCAUAUGCCUCUGCCUGGCCUCUGAGAGGAGUGAGGAGUUUGCAGAGUCUUCUGGAGAAACAGAGGACUGAGACACUCCCAUUUUGGAGGCUUCUAGUGUUUGUUUGUUUGUUAAUAUUUAUUUAUUUACUUUUGAGAGAGAGAGAGAGAAAGAGAGAGAGCCGGAAGGCACACACA